AAUCAACGCUGGCGGCGUGCCUCAGACAUGCAAGUCGAACGCGAAAGGUUCCUUCGGGGACCGAGUAGAGUGGCGCACGGGUGAGUAACACGUAGGUAAUUUGCCUUUGGGUGGGGAAUAACUCAGGGAAACUUGAGCUAAUACCGCAUAAUGCAGCGGCUCGACAUCGAGACAGUUGUUAAAGCGGGGGAUUCGCAAGAACCUCGCGCCUAAAGAGAAGCCUGCGGCAGANAGUCUAGUUGGUAAGGUAAUGGCUUACCAAGGCGACGAUCUGUAACCGGCCUGAGAGGGCGGUCGGUCACACUGACACUGACAUACGGGUCAGACUCCUACGGGAGGCAGC
rnacentral:rRNA from 1 species